rnacentral:rRNA from 1 species
CCUACGGGCGGCAGCAGUGGGGAAUAUUGCACAAUGGGGGGAACCCUGAUGCAGCAACGCCGCGUGGGUGAAGAAGUAUUUCGGUAUGUAAAGCUCUGUCAGCAGGGAAGAAGAUGACGGUACCUGACUAAGAAGCCCCGGCUAACUACGUGCCAGCAGCCGCGGUAAUACGUAGGGGGCAAGCGUUAUCCGGAUUUACUGGGUGUAAAGGGAGCGUAGACGGCAGAACAAGUCUGGAGUGAAAGGCCGGGGCUUAACCACGGGACUGCUCUGGAAACUGUGGAGCUAGAGUGCAGGAGGGGUAAGCGGAAUUCCUAGUGUAGCGGUGAAAUGCGUAGAUAUUAGGAGGAACACCAGUGGCGAAGGCGGCUUACUGGACUGUAACUGACGUUGAGGCUCGAAAGCGUGGGGAGCAAACAGGAUUAGAUACCCCAGUAGUC